AUUGAACGCUGGCGGCAGGCCUAACACAUGCAAGUCGAGCGGAUGAAGGGAGCUUGCUCCUGGAUUCAGGGGCGGACGGGUGAGUAAUGCCUAGGAAUCUGCCUGGUAGUGGGGGAUAACGUCCGGAAACGGGCGCUAAUACCGCAUACGUCCUGAGGGAGAAAGUGGGGGAUCUUCGGACCUCGCGCUAUCAGAUGAGCCUAGGUCGGAUUAGCUAGUUGGUGGGGUAAAGGCCUACCAAGGCGACGAUCCGUAACUGGUCUGAGAGGAUGAUCAGUCACACUGGAACUGAGACACGGUCCAGACUCCUACGGGAGGCAGCAGUGGGGAAUAUUGGACAAUGGGCGAAAGCCUGAUCCAGCCAUGCCGCGUGUGUGAAGAAGGUCUUCGGAUUGUAAAGCACUUUAAGUUGGGAGGAAGGGCAGUAAGUUAAUACCUUGCUGUUUUGACGUUACCAACAGAAUAAGCACCGGCUAACUUCGUG
rnacentral:rRNA from 1 species